rnacentral:rRNA from 1 species
ACCGUCGACAGUCAGGCAACGAGCGAGAUCCCUGCCUCUAGUUGCUACCAUUAUUCUCAGGAGUAGUGGAGCUAAUUAGAGGGACCGCCGUCGCUGAGACGGAGGAAGGUGGGGGCUACGGCAGGUCAGUAUGCCCCGAAACCCUCGGGCCACACGCGGGCUGCAAUGGUAAGGACAAUGAGUUUCGAUUCCGAAAGGAGGAGGCAAUCUCUAAACCUUACCACAGUUAUGAUUGAGGGCUGAAACUCGCCCUCAUGAAUAUGGAAUCCCUAGUAACCGCGUGCACUCGCGACGGGAAU